GACGAACGCUGGCGGCGUGCUUAACACAUGCAAGUCGAACGGAAAGGCCCUGCUUUUGUGGGGUGCUCGAGUGGCGAACGGGUGAGUAACACGUGAGUAACCUGCCCUUGACUUUGGGAUAACUUCAGGAAACUGGGGCUAAUACCGGAUAGGAGCUCCUGCUGCAUGGUGGGGGUUGGAAAGUUUCGGCGGUUGGGGAUGGACUCGCGGCUUAUCAGCUUGUUGGUGGGGUAGUGGCUUACCAAGGCUUUGACGGGUAGCCGGCCUGAGAGGGUGACCGGCCACAUUGGGACUGAGAUACGGCCCAGACUCCUACGGGAGGCAGCAGUGGGGAAUAUUGCACAAUGGGCGGAAGCCUGAUGCAGCAACGCUGCGUGCGGGAUGACGGCCUUCGGGUAGUAAACCGCUUUCGCCUGUGACGAAGCGUGAGUGACGGUAAUGGGUAAAGAAGCACCGGCUAACUACGUGCCAGCAGCCGCGGUGAUACGUAGGGUGCGAGCGUUGUCCGGAUUUAUUGGGCGUAAAGGGCUCGUAGGUGGUUGAUCGCGUCGGAAGUGUAAUCUUGGGGCUUAACCCUGAGCGUGCUUUCGAUACGGGUUGACUUGAGGAAGGUAGGGGAGAAUGGGAUUCCUGGUGGAGCGGUGGAAUGCGCAGAUAUCAGGAGGAACACCAGUGGCGAAGGCGGUUCUCUGGGCCUUUCCUGACGCUGAGGAGCGAAAGCGUGGGGAGCGAACAGGCUUAGAUACCCUGGUAGUCCACGCUGUAAACGGUGGGUACUAGGUGUGGGGUCCAUUCCACGGGUUCCGUGCCGUAGCUAACGCUUUAAGUACCCCGCCUGGGGAGUACGGCCGCAAGGCUAAAACUUAAAGGAAUUGACGGGGCCCCGCACAAGCGGCGGAGCAUGCGGAUUAAUUCGAUGCAACGCGUAGAACCUUACCUGGGUUUGACAUGGAUCGGGAGCGCUCAGAGAUGGGUGUGCCUCUUUUGGGGUCGGUUCACAGGUGGUGCAUGGCUGUCGUCAGCUCGUGUCGUGAGAUGUUGGGUUAAGUCCCGCAACGAGCGCAACCCUUGUUCACUGUUGCCAGCACGUUAUGGUGGGGACUCAGUGGAGACCGCCGGGGUCAACUCGGAGGAAGGUGGGGAUGACGUCAAGUCAUCAUGCCCCUUAUGUCCAGGGCUUCACGCAUGCUACAAUGGCUGGUACAGAGAGUGGCGAGCCUGUGAGGGUGAGCGAAUCUCGGAAAGCCGGUCUCAGUUCGGAUUGGGGUCUGCAACUCGACCUCAUGAAGUCGGAGUCGCUAGUAAUCGCAGAUCAGCAACGCUGCGGUGAAUACGUUCCCGGGGCU
rnacentral:rRNA from 1 species